rnacentral:rRNA from 1 species
CAUGCAGAGAACUUUCCAGAGAUGGAGUUGGUGCCUUCGGGAACGUCUGACACAGGUGCUGCAUGGCUGUCGUCAGCUCGUGUCGUGAGAUGUUGGGUUAAGUCCCGUAACGAGCGCAACCCUUGUCCUUAGUUACCAGCACGUUAUGGUGGGCACUCUAAGGAGACUGCCGGUGACAAACCGGAGGAAGGUGGGGAUGACGUCAAAUCAUCAUGGCCCUUACGGCCUGGGCUACACACGUGCUACAAUGGCCGGUACAAAGGGCAGCUACCUGGUGACAGGAUGCUAAUCUCAAAAGCCGGUCUCAGUUCGGAUCGGAGUCUGCAACUCGACUGCGUGAAGUCGGAAUCGCUAGUAAUCGUGAAUCAGAAUGUCACGGUGAAUACGUUCCCGGGCCUU